AUGGCCAGGUUGUAUUCUUCUAACUGCUUUACAGAUUUUUCUUUCUUUAUGAUUAUCUUGUGUAGAUCCCAAGUUAUUGAGACUGUAAUCACACCAUGGAAGGCAAUGAAAUACAUACAUGAUACAUUAUCUUUUUGUACCGAGGUAGAGCAGCAAUCAUUUUAUUUGCUCUCCUUCUCUUAUUUGCUGUCUCGUGCCCAUCAAGGCAGAGCAGUGAGCUAUUUGAACCAUUGCUACCCAGCUAGAGAGGAGUCGCGCCCCCUGGCGCACACCCGUGGCGUUCUUUUUUGUUUCAUUUAUCAAAUAGUGAUGGUACAAAUAUCGAAUUCCUGA
rnacentral:rRNA from 1 species